GGGUUGUGAGGUUAAGCGACUAAGCGUACACGGUGGAUGCCCUGGCAGUCAGAGGCGAUGAAGGGCGUACUAAUCUGCGAUAAGCGCCGGUAAGGUGAUAUGAACCGUUAUAACCGGCGAUACCCGAAUGGGGAAACCCAGUGUGAUUCGUCACACUAUCAUUAACUGAAUCCAUAGGUUAAUGAGGCGAACCGGGGGAACUGAAACAUCUAAGUACCCCGAGGAAAAGAAAUCAACCGAGAUUCCCCCAGUAGCGGCGAGCGAACGGGGAGGAGCCCAGAGCCUGAAUCAGCAUGUGUGUUAGUGGAAGCGUCUGGAAAGGCGCGCGAUACAGGGUGACAGCCCCGUACACAAAAGCGCAUGUGCUGUGAGCUCGAUGAGUAGGGCGGGACACGUGGUAUCCUGUCUGAAUAUGGGGGGACCAUCCUCCAAGGCUAAAUACUCCUGACUGACCGAUAGUGAACCAGUACCGUGAGGGAAAGGCGAAAAGAACCCCGGCGAGGGGAGUGAAAAAGAACCUGAAACCGUGUACGUACAAGCAGUGGGAGCCCCACCACCAAAGCAUUUGCUGUACCGC
rnacentral:rRNA from 1 species